rnacentral:rRNA from 1 species
AAACCAGCACCUCAAGUGGUCAGGAGGAUUAUUGGGCCUAAAGCAUCCGUAGCCUGUUCUGUAAGUUUUCGGUUAAAUCCAUACGCUCAACGUAUGGGCUGCCGGGAAUACUGCAAAGCUAGGGAGUGGGAGAGGUAGACGGUACUCGGGAGGAAGGGGUAAAAUCCUUUGAUCUCUCGAUGACCACCUGUGGCGAAGGCGGUCUACCAGAACACGUCCGACGGUGAGGGAUGAAAGCUGGGGGAGCAAACCGGAUUAGAAACCCGAGUAGUCC